rnacentral:rRNA from 1 species
CCCUGAUGCAGCCAUGCCGCGUGUGUGAAGAAGGACCUUCGGGUUGUAAAGCACUUUCAGUAGGGAGGAAGGUAGUGUAGUUAACACCUGCAUUAUUUGACGUUACCUACAGAAGAAGCAACCGGCUAACUCCGUGCCAGCAGCCGCGGUAAUACGGAGGGUGCGAGCGUUAAUCGGAAUUACUGGGCGUAAAGCGCAUGCAGGCGGCCUGUUAAGUCAGAUGUGAAAGCCCGGGGCUUAACCUCGGAAUUGCAUUUGAAACUGGCAGGCUAGAGUCUUGUAGAGGGGGGUAGGAAUUUCAGGUGUAGCGGUGAAAUGCGUAGAGAUCUGAAGGAAUACCAGUGGCGAAGGCGGCCCCCUGGACAAAGACUGACGCUCAGAUGCGAAAAGCGUGGGGGAGCAAACAGGAUUAGAUACCCUGGUAG